GACGAACGCUGGCGGCGUGCCUAACACAUGCAAGUCGAGCGGAGACAGGGACUUCGGUUUCUGUUUUAGCGGCGGACGGGUGAGUAACGCGUGAGCAACCUUUCUCUCAGCGGGGAAUAACACAGGGAAACUUGUACUAAUACCGCAUAAGACCACAGAGGGGCAUCCUUCAGGGGUCAAAGAUUUAUCACUGAGAGGUGGGCUCGCGUCUGAUUAGCUAGAUGGCGGGGUAACGGCCCACCAUGGCGACGAUCAGUAGCCGGUCUGAGAGGAUGAACGGCCACAUUGGGACUGAGAUACGGCCCAGACUCCUACGGGAGGCAGCAGUGGGGAAUAUUGGGCAAUGGGGGGAAACCCUGACCCAGCAACGCCGCGUGAAGGAAGAAGGCUUUCGGGUUGUAAACUUCUUUUACCAGGGACGAAGGACGUGACGGUACCUGGAGAAAAAGCAACGGCUAACUACGUG
rnacentral:rRNA from 1 species